CCUCCUCAUUUGACGUCAGGAGGAACAACCGUCGGGGGAGGAAGAGCUACAGGACGUCUUCCUCAACAACCUGGACGUCGAGGAGUCCGGACCCUUGAACCACAGACGGAUUCAGCUCCAGCUGCUGUUAUUCUGGUAACUUCCACAACGAGAAGCUCCGACGAUAAAACUCACCGGAUACGACCGCAGUCAGCAGGAGGAAGACUUCCGGCGGUGGGGGAAUCGUUGCAGUCGAUAUUUACUCGAAAGCAUCGGCAUGUAGCAGCUCGGUGUUCAGGCUGUAAGGCUGUCCGUCAUGAAGAAGCGAGCCACCAAGGUGCCGGAGGCGGAGGAGAUCUUGUGCUGCUGUGAAUAUGUGAACAGACUCGGAGAGCGCAGCCAUGUAGCAGCCUGCUGCUGUGACUGCGAAGACCUGGAUGACGCCUGUGACAGGUUUCUGAAGAGGGAGCCUCAGAAGGCUGAAUCCUUGGCACAGGUGGCUGCAGUUGUUUCAGACCGCGUUCGUGUGCCUUGGCUGUGGGGUGGAGCCCGAAGAGUGGAGCUGUCCGUCAUCCCUCCUCUUAUUCUCCUUCCUGUCCUGCUCCACCUCGCUGCCCUCCACUUCCUGCUCGGCAUCGUGGUUCUGACAGCUCUACCCGGGCUGGUGCUGUGGUACUACUAUUUCACCCACCGCAAGAAAGGACGGACACUCUUCUUCCUGAGCUUGGCCCUCUUCUCCCUGGGGUACAUGUACUACUUGUUCAUCACCGAGGUGCUUCCAAGUGGGAAUGUUGGUCAGGUGGAGGUAACCGUGGUAACCAUAGGGGUCAUACUCACCCUGGUAGCCCUUAUCCACACCAAGAGAGAACCCGGCAUCGUGCGGCCACACCAAGAGUCCGUCCACAGCACAGUGACGUAUUACAGCCCUCUGGCAGACAGAGACCCUGCCGUCAACGGGGGGAGGCAGGAUGUGACGAUGACGGUAGCCAACCGGGCGAUAUCGUCGUUGGAGCAGGCGGUGGAGCUGAAGGAAAGUAGCCGGAGGAACUGGUGUCCGGUGUGCAGGGUGGUGCGGCCCCCAAGGGCGGGACAUUGUCGGAUCUGUGGUGUCUGCGUGCUGCGUCUCGACCACCACUGUGUCUGGAUAAACAGCUGUGUGGGGCAGGCCAAUCACCGCAGCUUCCUGCUUACACUCGUCCUCUUCCUGUUGACGUCCCUGUACGGGAUCAGCCUGGUACUGCAGAGUGUGUGUCCGAAACAACACCACCUCACUGCCCUGUUCUACUGCCCGGGGGUCUACGACCAGUACAGCACUGCACUUUGCUUCACCUGUGCGUGGUACAGCAGUAUUGUGACUGGAGGGCUGCUACACCUGCUGAUGGUGCAGGUGAUCAACGUGAGCUACAACGUGACCGAGCGUGAGGCACGCAUCGCCCUGCGAGACAAAACCGCUCGCAGCGCCUUCUGGGGACUCGUUGUGGAUACAGGCGUCUACUCCAGAGGUUUCCGUGGGAACUGGGCAGAGUUCAUGACCAUGGGAGACAAACUGAACCCUCCCUCUCCAACCCCAACGGAUCUGGUGUAAGAGACUGUUACGCAACUGAUUUAAAAAAUGAGUUUGGAGCUUAUGGCUGCUGUUCUGUUUAUGUCCAUUGGAUGGCAGCAUGGCUCCUCUCACUCAGAUUCAACGUUAAUGGCUGGCCUCUGCUUGGCAGCAAACCUGAGAGCUGCCACAACGGAUAUCAAUGGGUUACUGCAACUACUGAGUUGCCCUGACUUUGACACAGCAAUAACUACAAACCCCAAUAAGAUACAUUUACUGCCAUAAAUGUCACUGACAACUGGCAUCUCGUCUAUGCAGCUAUAUCCAAUCACUGACCUUUAAUCUCCUUCCACUGCUGCCUCAUUUCACUUCUCACCAGUCUCUCAGCCAGGGACGUUGUUUCAGCUAAAGCCGAGGCAUGGCAGUGGAUGUAAUAUGCUACUGAGAAUGUUUUAAUGGACAUAUAGCUCUCUCUCACAUUCACAAUGCCUAAUGUGCCUUGCUGGGAGUCGACAUACAAGAAAAAUGUGAGAUUGAGUAAUCUGUUGACGUCUCUGGAGUUGGUCAGUCCGUCUACAUUACGUGGGCUGAACGUCAUUUCAAGGAGGAUCUUUCUGCACUCAACACCUCCCUUGUCCUCCACAAACACUCAUCCACAGUGUUGACCUUGUGAAAUGUGUCAUGGAUAUUUAUCACAAAUGAAAAAAUGAAACAUCUCAGCAGAAGCCACAUAAUCAGGCUAAUUAAAGUACAGUGUGUCCUUGCAUUCAACAUAAUGAAUGAUUGGGUAGUCUGAAUAUGAGUAGUAACUUUUCAAAAUGAACCAAACAGUUCUUGAAAUAUGAAAAAAAAAGCAAAUAAACCAAUACACAUUAAUGUUGAGAGGUUUCAGUGCUUUCCACUACUGCUGCUUUUAUUAGUCCACAAAGUGAUUGAAAGCUUUUUUUGGAAUCCUAAAACUUGUUUUGGUCCAGUUGUGUGUUUUAUUUAUUUAUAUUAAAUAAAUGUGAGAAAUGUG